GAUAAUAUUACUUAAUUUUUUUCGGAUCCAGUUAAAUUUUAAUUAUAGGUUUGAUAGUAAGGUUUAUUGGGUGGAAUCAGUAAGUCUUAAAGUAAGCUAAUUUUUGAUUAUGAGGCUGAGAAAUUUAAUAUUUAAACUAGGAUUAGAUACCCUAUUAUUUUGAACGUGAAUUUAUUUCUGGAUUAUUAGUAGUUAUGCCCUUGAAAAUUAAAGAUUUUGGCGGUAUUUUAGUCUGUUCAGAGGAACCUGUCCUGUAAUCGAUGAUCCACGAGUUAAUUAACUUUUUCUUUUAGUUUGUAUAUCGUCGUAGUUUGAAAAUUUUAAAAGAAUUUUAAUUUUCAUGAUUUUUUUUUAAAGGAAAUCAGAUCAAGGUGUAGCUUAUGAAAAAGGAAGUGAUGGGUUACAUUGAAUUUAUUCUUGAUUCUAUCUUGUGAAGUUAGAUGAGUACGGAUUUGAUAGUAAUGUUAAUUAGACUAUUAGCGUGAUUUAAGCUCUAAAAUAUGCACAUAUCGCCCGUCGCUUUCACUCUAAAGUGGAAUAAGUCGUAACAAAGUAGGCUUACUGGAAAGUGAGCCUGGAAAGGCAGGUUAGAGCUUGUUAAAAAGCAUUUUAUUUACACUAAAAAGUUAAUUGUGAGAAUCAAUUUGGCUUGAAUUUAAGGGCUUAUUGUUAUUUUAAUUUUUUUUCUUUUUAUAAUGAGAAUAUUGAUUUUUAUUAUUAGUUAAGAAAAAAUUUUUUAUUAUUAUAGUUUAUUUGUACUGUGAAGGAGAAUCAUUUUUAUUUAAAAAAAAAAGAUUUAUUUUCU
rnacentral:rRNA from 1 species